rnacentral:misc_RNA from 1 species
UUCCGCUGUCCGCAAUCCACUCCCUCCUCCCACGAAACUCUUGGCCAUGGCUUGGCGCGGCGCCGCCUCCCGCUCAAUCUUCGCCGCCGUCCGUGCCCGCGCCGCAUCCUCCUCCUCCUCCUCAGCGGCCACGCGCCUCCGCUCGGCGGCUCCAAUUGCCGCCACCCCGCGCCGCACCGUCCCCGCCUUUGCUUUCGCGGCCGCGAGGAAAUGACGAUGAUGCAUGAUGCUUGGGAAGCAGUUUUAAAGCAUGGAAAAGGUGCUGCUGUGAUAAGUGAACUAUUUUUCUUGUUACUUUGGCACUUGAAUGCACACUUUUGUCUUCCAAUGCAAGGGUAGGAUCUCUCGUCGGGCUUGCGGCCUUUUUCCUGCAUUUUGCAGAGUGCCUCGUGUGUCGGCAAACGGACAGUACACUUGCUGCAACUAAAAUAUAAACAAGCCUAUGUUAGCC